AUGGCGCUCGGGUGGUUCAAGGUCGUGGAGGUGCAGGUGCAGAGCGCGCGGGCGUACCAGUGGAGGUGGGAGGAGAAGGCGGGGGUCGUGGUGUCCCUCCUCGACGACGCGCUCUUCCACGUCCUCUACGCCGCCGAGGCCGUCGUCCUCUCCGCCGCGCUCUGCGGCUUCUUCCUCUGCUGCGGCUGCAACAUCUGA
rnacentral:rRNA from 1 species